rnacentral:rRNA from 1 species
CUGCAGUCGAGCGGAAGAUGGGAGCUUGCUCCCUGAUGUCAGCGGCGGACGGGUGAGUAACACGUGGGUAACCUGCCUGUAAGACUGGGAUAACUCCGGGAAACCGGGGCUAAUACCGGAUGCUUGAUUGAACCGCAUGGUUCAAUUAUAAAAGGUGGCUUUUAGUUACCAUUAACAAAGGGACCCGGGGGGAAUAACUUAGUUGGGGAGGAACGGGUUCCCCAGGGCAACGAUGGGAAGCCACCCUGAAAGGGGGAUCGGCCACCUGGGAAUUGAAACCGGGCCCAAACCCCACCGGGAGGAAGAAGAAGGAAUUCUCCCGCAAGGAACAAAGGUUUGAGGGAGCACCGCCGGGGGAGUGAGGAAGGUUUUCGGAUCGAAAACUUUUGUGGUAAGGAAAAAAAAAGUCCCGUUCAAUUAGGGGGCUCCCUGGAGGUACCCAACCCAAAAGCCCCGGGUUAUUUCCUGGCCAGAGGCGCCGGC